rnacentral:misc_RNA from 1 species
CGCACCUUGCGCCCCUUGGCAUUCCGAGGGGCAUGCCCGUUUGAGUGUCUUGAAUUCAUCCUCCCGUCGGUUUCGCGACCUGUCGGGUUGGGACUUGGGGGUCUUUGCUGCUGCGUGAGCGGUGGCUCCCCUCGAAUGGAUCGGUGGGAUUUUGCCGGAUUGCGCAUCCCUUGGGCGUUGUAUUGUCCUCGUCCGCAGCGGAUUGCCCCGGCGUCGCCCGCUUCGACCUUGCCCGCAGAGGGGCGGUCAAUACAUUUUUUGAAAUCUGACCUCAAAUCGGGUAGGACUACCCGCUGAACUUAA